ACGGCUGGGUUAUUUUUUAACCCAAAAUGCUGGGCUGAGUCUGUUGGGUCAUUUUGUUGGGUUAUUUUAUUACUUUUUUAAACACUUUUGGGUAGUUUCAAUUUACCAGGUGUUGAGUUAAACCUGCUGGGUUGCAACGCUGGGUUGUUUCAGGCCAGCACUGGGUUAUUUAACGCGCCUUGAAGAUGUUUAAAUCGCUCCCUAACUGUCAUUUUGGAAGGACAACGGGCAAAGCAACUGGUUUCAACUGUUUUAAGAAGAGAACAUGGAAACAUUUGUGAGAGAAAAACUCGUCGAGUGCAGUCUUAUGGAGACGUCUAACGGUUGGAACAAACGUGGAAUUCCUUAACCGAGUCCACAAAACCCCAUCCAUCUGUCAUGGCGAUUUGAAAAUGCCAGCAGAUCUCUCAGGCAUUGAUCAUAAUCAAUGGACAGGUCACCGUAGCCACCAGGAUCCAGUCUGUAUUCAGAUCAGAUGGUCACUGCAGUCACCCGGAUUCAGCCUGUAUCCAGAUCAGAUGGUGGAUCAGCACCUAGAGAUGACCUCUGCAGCCCUGAAUGUCAGCGGAGACCAGGACUACUAGAUGAGCCCCAGAGAUAGAUCCCCAGUAAAGACCUUGUCUCCAAGACAGCGGGAACCAGAUGAGUCCUCUGCACAAUCAAACUCUGCUGCAGCCUGUAAUUGAACUGCUUGUUUCGUCUGGUCAGAGGAGAACUGGCCCCCCAACUGGGCCUGGUUUCUCCCAAGGUUUUUUCUCCAUUCUGUCACUGAUGGAGUUUUGGUUCCUUGCUGCUGUCGCCUCUGGC